rnacentral:rRNA from 1 species
UACAGGGGAUGCAAGUGUUAUUCGGAAUUAUUGGGCGUAAAGCGUCUGUAGGCGGAGAAUUAAUUCUUUUGUAACAUCUUUAAGUUUAACUUGAAAACAGCAACAGAAACUUCUUCUCUUGAGAUAGUAAAAGGUAAAAGGAAUUUCUAGUGGAGCGGUGAAAUGUUUUGAUAUUAGAAGGAACACCGAGAGCGAAAGCAUUUUACUUGUACUAAACUGACGCUGAGAGACGAAAGCUAGGGGAGCAAACAGG